CCCACCUUCAUCACUACCCAUUACUUCAUUCCCAUCAAAUUCUCUCUCUCUCUCUCUCUCUUUGUUUGUUUUGUGUAAAUCAGAAGAAGAAGAAGAAAGAAAGAAAGAAAAAGAAAAAUGGCAGACGAAGGAACAACAAAUUGCAUCGAUAUCCUCCUCGCUAUUCUCCUCCCUCCUCUUGGUGUCUUUCUCAAAUUUGGAUGCCAAGUUGAGUUUUGGAUCUGCUUGGUCUUAACUUUCUUUGGUUACAUCCCUGGCAUUAUUUAUGCUGUUUAUGCCAUCACCAAGUGAUCAUCCAAUUCAAAGGAUUGAUGCAAGAAAUUAUUGGAACUCAUCAUCAUGCAUGGUCUCUCCUCACCGACACUCUCCCUUCCUUUUUUCUAAUUUCUCUUGAUCUCUGUUUUGUGUGUGUUUGCUUGUGUGAUAAUCAUCAUCCCAUCCAUCAAAGACAUCUACACAAUUGUUGCUUCUAAUUUCUUUUUUCUCUUUUGUAAUUUGUAAUUUUGAAUUAUUUGGGGGUAAUUUAAUCAUGUGUUGUUCUUGGUUGUAUUGAUUGAAUUGGUUGCUGUAAAUCAGAAAAAAACAAAAAAGAAGGAUAAGGACAAAGUAAGUUUGUUGAAGAAUUGGAAUGUGUUGAGUGUUGAUUA